rnacentral:rRNA from 1 species
AACGCUGGCGGCGCGCUUAACACAUGCAAGUCGAGCGAGAACCUUUCCUUCGGGAUUGGGGACAGCGGCGAACGGGUGAGUAACACGUGGGUAAUCUGCCCUUGACAUCGGGAUAGCCCGGGGAAACCCGGAUUAAUACCGAAUAGCCUCCGGAGCCUUCGGGCGCCGGAGAAAAGGUAGCUUCGGCCUCUGGUCAAGGAUGAGCCCGCGGCGGAUUAGCUUGUUGGCGGGGUAAUGGCCCACCAAGGCGACGAUCCGUAGCUGGUCUGAGAGGACGAUCAGCCACACUGGGACUGAGACACGGCCCAGACUCCUACGGGAGGCAGCAGUGGGGAAUCUUGCGCAAAUGCGGGAAACCGUGACGCAGCGACGCCGCGUGGGGGAAGAAGGCCUUCGGGUUGUAAACCUCUUUCAGGAGGGACGAAGCUACUCGGGUUAAUAGCCCAGAGGGUGACGGUACCUCCAGAAGAAGCCCCGGCUAACUACGUGCCAGCAGCCGCCGUAAUAC